rnacentral:tRNA from 1 species
UAUCAAUAUUUAAAGAUAAAAACUUAAGCCGCUAACUUAUAAACCAUAAGAUAAAAUCUUAUUUAUCU